AGGUCAUUUCCAAGAGGGCCUGUAGAACUGUAAAACCAGGAGCUCUUAAGUCUGUGACCAAAGACUGAAGUUCUCUGUAGGAUGCCAUAGUCACUCAAUAGUGUUUCUAAAGAGAUGUGACU